AGCGAACGCUGGCGGCAGGCUUAACACAUGCAAGUCGAACGCUCGUAGCGAUACGGGAGUGGCAGACGGGUGAGUAACGCGUGGGAACGUGCCCUUUGGUUCGGAAUAACUCAGGGAAACUUGAGCUAAUACCGGAUAAGCCCCUUACGGGGGAAAGAUUUAUCGCCGAAGGAUCGGCCCGCGUCCGAUUAGCUAGUUGGUGAGGUAAUGGCUCACCAAGGCGACGAUCGGUAGCUGGUCUGAGAGGAUGAUCAGCCACACUGGGACUGAGACACGGCCCAGACUCCUACGGGAGGCAGCAGUGGGGAAUAUUGGACAAUGGGGGCAACCCUGAUCCAGCCAUGCCGCGUGAGUGAUGAAGGCCCUAGGGUUGUAAAGCUCUUUCGACGGGGACGAUAAUGACGGUACCCGUAGAAGAAGCCCCGGCUAACUUCGUGCCAGCCGCCGCGGUAA
rnacentral:rRNA from 1 species